rnacentral:rRNA from 1 species
AGAGUUUGAUCAUGGCUCAGAUUGAACGCUGGCGGCAUGCUUAAUACAUGCAAGUCGAACGGUAACAGAUUCUUCGGAAUGCUGACGAGUGGCGGACGGGUGAGUAAAGCAUAGGAAUCUGCCCAUGUAGUGGGGGAUAACUUGGGGAAACUCAAGCUAAUACCGCAUAAGUCCUACGGGAUAAAGACGGGGAAGUGCUUGCUAUUGGAUGAGCCUAUGUCGGAUUAGUUAGUUGGUGAGGUAAUGGCUCACCAAGACAGCGAUCCGUAGCUGGUUUGAGAGGAUGAUCAGCCACACUGGGACUGAGACACGGCCCAGACUCCUACGGGAGGCAGCAGUAGGGAGUAUUGGACAAUGGGCGCAAGCCUGAUCCAGCAAUGCCGCGUGUGUGAAGAAGGCCUGCGGGUUGUAAAGCACUUUCAAUUGGGAAGAAAGAUUUAGAGUUAAUACCUCUUAAUAUUGACGUUACCAAUAGAAGAAGCACCGGCUAACUCUGUGCCAGCAGCCGCGGUAAUACAGAGGGUGCAAGCGUUAAUCGGAAUUACUGGGCGUAAAGCGUUCGUAGGCGGUUAUUUAAGCAAGAUGUGAAAGCCCAGGGCUCAACCUUGGAACUGCAUUUUGAACUGGGUAACUAGAGUACUGUAGAGGGUGGUGGAAUUUCCAGUGUAGCGGUGAAAUGCGUAGAGAUUGGAAGGAACAUCAGUGGCGAAGGCGGCCACCUGGACAGAUACUGACGCUGAGGAACGAAAGCGUGGGGAGCGAACAGGAUUAGAUACCCUGGUAGUCCACGCCGUAAACGAUGUCUACUAGCUGUUGGAUUCGGUGUAAUGGAUUUAGUGGCGCAGCUAACGCGUUAAGUACUCCGCCUGGGGACUACGGUCGCAAGACUAAAACUCAAAGGAAUUGACGGGGACCCGCACAAGCGGUGGAGCAUGUGGUUUAAUUCGAUGCAACGCGAAAAACCUUACCUGCUCUUGACAUCCACAGAACUUUCCAGAGAUGGAUCGGUGCCUUCGGGAACUGUGAGACAGGUGCUGCAUGGCUGUCGUCAGCUCGUGUUGUGAAAUGUUGGGUUAAGUCCCGCAACGAGCGCAACCCUUAUUAAUAGUUGCUAACAAGUUAUGUUGAGCACUCUAUUGAGACUGCCGGUGAUAAACCGGAGGAAGGUGGGGACGACGUCAAGUCAUCAUGGCCCUUACGAGCAGGGCUACACACGUGCUACAAUGGCAGGGACAGAUGGCAGCAAUACCGCGAGGUGGAGCGAAUCCCACAAAGCUUGUCGUAGUCCGGAUCGGAGUCUGCAACUCGACUCCGUGAAGUCGGAAUCGCUAGUAAUCGUGGGUCAGAAUGCCACGGUGAAUACGUUCCCGGGCCUUGUACACACCGCCCGUCACACCAUGGGAGUGGGACUCGCCAGAAGUAGUUAGCCUAACCGUAAGGGGGGCGAUUACCACGGCGGGGUUCGUGACUGGGGUGAAGUCGUAACAAGGUAGCCGUAUCGGAAGGUGCGGCUGGAUCACCUCCUUA